rnacentral:rRNA from 1 species
UCUUGACAUCCACAGAAUUCUGCAGAGAUGCGGAAGUGCCUUCGGGAACUGUGAGACAGGUGCUGCAUGGCUGUCGUCAGCUCGUGUUGUGAAAUGUUGGGUUAAGUCCCGCAACGAGCGCAACCCUUAUCCUUUGUUGCCAGCGGUUAGGCCGGGAACUCAAAGGAGACUGCCAGUGAUAAACUGGAGGAAGGUGGGGAUGACGUCAAGUCAUCAUGGCCCUUACGACCAGGGCUACACACGUGCUACAAUGGCGCAUACAAAGAGAAGCGACCUCGCGAGAGCAAGCGGACCUCAUAAAGUGCGUCGUAGUCCGGAUUGGAGUCUGCAACUCGACUCCAUGAAGUCGGAAUCGCUAGUAAUCGUGGAUCAGAAUGCCACGGUGAAUACGUUCCCGGGCCUUGUACACACCGCCCGUCACACCAUGGGAGUGGGUUGCAAAAGAAGUAGGUAGCUUAACCUUCGGGAGGGCGCUUACCACUUUGUGAUUCAUGACUGGGGUGAAGUCGUAACAAGGUAACCGUAGGGGAACCUGCGGUUGGAUCACCUCCUUACCUUAAAGAAGC